rnacentral:rRNA from 1 species
UACGUAGGGUGCAAGCGUUAAUCGGAAUUACUGGGCGUAAAGCGUGCGCAGGCGGUUCGCUAAGACCGAUGUGAAAUCCCCGGGCUUAACCUGGGAACUGCAUUGGUGACUGGCGGGCUAGAGUAUGGCAGAGGGGGGUAGAAUUCCACGUGUAGCAGUGAAAUGCGUAGAUAUCUGGAGGAACACCGGUGGCGAAGGCGGCAUCCUGGACCGGUAUUGACGCUGAUGCGCGAAAGCCAGGGGAGCAAACGGG